AUUGAACGCUGGCGGCAUGGCUAAAACAUGCAAGUCGAACGCGAAAGGGGAGCAAUCCCCGAGUAGAGUGGCGAAAGGGUGAGUAAUGCAUUCCUACGUGCCCCAAGGUCAGGGAUAGCCCAGGGAAACCUGGAUUAAUACCUGAUGUGGUUUCCGAAUCAAAGUCGCAAGACGCCUUGGGAGCGGGGAAUGUCCUAUCAGCUAGUUGGUGAGGUAACGGCUCACCAAGGCUUUGACGGGUAGCGGGUGUGAGAGCAUGGCCCGCCACAUCGGGACUGAGACACUGCCCGGACUCCUACGGGAGGCUGCAGUAACGAAUCUUCCACAAUGCGCGAAAGCGUGAUGGAGCAAUGCCGCGUGCAGGGUGAAGCCCUUCGGGUGUAAACUGCUGUCAGGGAUUAGGAACACAAUGACCAUUCCCAAAGGAAGAGACGACUAACUCUGUGCCAGCAGUCGCGGUAAUACAGAGGUCUCGAGCGUUAGUCGGAUU
rnacentral:rRNA from 1 species